rnacentral:rRNA from 1 species
CCUACGGGUGGCAGCAGUGGGGAAUAUUGCACAAUGGGGGAAACCCUGAUGCAGCGACGCCGCGUGGGCGAGGAAGUACCUCGGUAUGUAAAGCCCUAUCAGCAGGGAAGAAACAGGACAGUACCUGACUAAGAAGCCCCGGCUAACUACGUGCCAGCAGCCGCGGUAAUACGUAGGGGGCAAGCGUUAUCCGGAUUCACUGGGCGUAAAGGGAGCGCAGGCGGCAUGGCAAGUCUGAUGUGAAAACCCGGGGCCCAACCCCGGGAGUGCAUUGGAAACUGCCAGGCUGGAGUGUCGGAGGGGUAAGCGGAAUUCCUAGUGUAGCGGUGAAAUGCGUAGAUAUUAGGAGGAACACCAGUGGCGAAGGCGGCUUACUGGACGACUACUGACGCUGAGGCUCGAAAGCGUGGGGAGCAAACAGGAUUAGAUACCCCAGUAGUC